GAUCAUGGCUCAGGAUGAACGCUGGCGGCAUGCCUAAUACAUGCAAGUCGAACGGGGUUGUAGCAAUACAACCUAGUGGCGAACGGGUGAGUAACACGUAGGCAACCUGCCUCCACCUUGGGGAUACCCGAUGGAAACGUCGGCUAAUACCGAAUGUGAGCUGCUGAGGACAUCCUCAGUAGAGAAAAGGAGCGAUCCGGGUGGAGAUGGACCUGCGGCGCAUUAGCUAGUAGGCGGGGUAAAGGCCCACCUAGGCAAUGAUGCGUAGCCGACCUGAGAGGGUGAACGGCCACAUUGGGACUGAGACACGGCCCAGACUCCUACGGGAGGCAGCAGUAGGGAAUUUUCGGCAAUGGGCGAAAGCCUGACCGAGCAAUGCCGCGUGAGUGAUGAAGGCCUUCGGGUUGUAAAGCUCUGUUAUAGGGGAAGAAAAAGUAGUGAAUGCUACAUAUUGACGGUACCCUAUUAGAAAGCCAUGGCUAACUACGUG
rnacentral:rRNA from 1 species